rnacentral:piRNA from 1 species
UGGGACAGGUGCUGGUAGAGUUCACAGUCU